AGAAUAGUAGGCUCAAUUAAAAUAGUGCUUAUAAGUAAGAAAACAUAUGAGAUGGAGAGGCUGGGGCACUAAUUUGUUCUUACUGAAGAAGUAAAUGCUUUUUGUUCCACCUAGUCAUUUGGAAGUAAUGGUUCACACUUUCAGAGCUGAACUUAGAGUCAUCGUAAAUCUUUGCACUUCAGAAACACAUAUUUAUGGUUUUGUUUUAUUUUUAUUCCUAGCUCUGCCAUUCUCUUACUCUGAGGUUUCAAACAAGCCAUACUUCCUGCCAAAAUAUCUAUAUAAAGCUACACUGCUGUAUGGCAAACAGGUAUAGGACCAGAGAGAUUAUCACGUUACAAAGAAGUAAUGAAAUAAAGAUCUUACCUGUGUCCUGGGCUUAGGAGAAGGGCUCCAAGAGGAGUGAUCUCCAGAUAGAGAUCCUUCCUCCUUGGGAGUCAGCCCUUAAAUGGGGUCUAGGAGUCAAUUCUGGUCACUCAGGUGAAAUUGCAUUCACCUGUGCCCAUGCAGCUGACUCAGCACUCUCCUCAGGUGGUCAAUCAGAGGUUCAGGCUAUGAUUCAACAGUUCCCAUACAACUGCCAAUAAUUAUUUUAAUAUAAAUGCAUUUAAUUUUACAAAUUUAUCUUUAAAGAAGCCCAAAUAAGAUUUUACUGUUGUUAAUGUAGCUUUCACAUAUUUAAGAUGUAUCUGACUGUGUUUUAGCUAACAGUGUCACAUUGAUUUGGUAUUUAUGUUCUUCUGAGAAUGUUGUUACCUAAGACGUGAUUUUAAACUAAGCAUUUGAAUGGUAUUCUUGUAUCAUUUAACUUAGUUAAACAUAAAAUAAAGUCACAUGUGCCAGACCAAUUUUUUAUUUUACAAGUCAAACUUAUUACACCAACUUGCUGAAUAAAACCAGCAGUUUUACUUUACUGUAAAUUGUUCCAGUUAACUCUAGUGAGAUACACUGAGAUCUAAGACUUGAGACUAUCUAUUCCUAAAGUAAUUGUAAUAAUGCUUUGUUGAAUGGAACUACUCUUUUAUAUUUCCUCCUGAGAAGUGAAUAUUUGAAGUGCUUCUUGAGCACUACAUUUUCUUCACAGUGCUCCUUCUUAUUGUAUCAAACUGUCACGAGAGUACCGUGGAUGUUUUCCUGGUCCAUUGAAGUAACUAUUCUUAAAUCUUAUCGAGACAACUCGUUAAGCUCAGUUGGUAAACAACUGUGGCUGCUGUAUAAAAUCAGUAUCUGUUUUUUCAAUGGAGCAAUAGCCAGGUACUAGUCUCAUGUAACCUGAAAUUACAUGACAGCUAAGAGAGGUCAAUGGGCCUGUGUUUAAAUCUUUCAGUGCAAUCAGAAUUCAACUCAAAAUUUAAACAGCCCACCAACGUGAUAUAUUGCAGAUGGACAACAUGGUCCAGUUUGUAAGCACUUGAAAGCCUCUGCAAGCAUUUGGCUGAAACUUGCUAAAGUAACAGAUAAAAUCUCUGCAAACAUUCCUACUGAGCAUACUCAGCUACUGCCAUACAAUUCCCUCACAGGGGUGCUAUGGAGGUACUAACAAGCAUGCCACCACAUCUAGCAAACAGCAUUGCUCAUUGAAAUCCCCAGGGAAAAAGUGAAUGUGCUUUAACUUGGAGCAUCCACACAGAAAAAAGCAUCUCAGGUCUGAACAAAGAAUGAACAAAGUCUUGCAGAAGACAGAGUGAGAAAAAGGUGGAAAAACUGGAUAUUGGUUGCUUGGGAAAAGCCCUCUAAAAUCAGAUAGAAAUGAGUGGAAAAUUAGUUCUCAGUCCCAGAGAAAAAAGUCAGUGUGAAGAAGAGCCUUAUAGCAGAUUUCAAUUCAUAUUGUAGUUUCACAUAACAGAUUGUGUUAUCAGGUGUUAAGUACCAGGAACUGAGGCACUUGUUGGUCAGUGCUUCUGCCAGCAAGCUAGUUGCUUCCUGGGAAGUGGAAUAAUAGCAUCUCAGCACAUCUUGAAGGCACAAUAAAAUCAUUAAUAAGAAUAAAUACCCCACAGAAGUAGCAAAGAAUAUAGAAGCUCAAUGAAGCUAAUUGUUCUGUACUUUCUUGACGAAACUUCAGAUGUGUACUUCAGAUAAAAUAAUGGCCCACAUCUCUCAAAGUAGAUAAAAUGAUUAUACUGUAGUACUUCAUCUUAGUACUAGUACUUCAUCUAGACUUAAUUAUGCCGUAUGCUGAGUUAAGCGGGGACUCUGGGAAAAGUGUCAGAUUGUUACUGUAUCAUAGCCCAUGGACAGACAUGGCUCAAAUUGCUAUCAACAACCAAAAUUAAAUCUGUCACUUCAGGUGAGCAAGCAAGUAUCGAUCGUUUAAAUUGUCUUUAGGUCAAAGUAGAUACUCAUCAUGAUAGAAAGAUACUGCACAUGUAUGUAACGGUACAAUGGAAAGUGCAGUAAAAAGCAGGAUAGCAAAGUCCUAGAUCACAACAUGGAAUUAACCCAAAUGCAGCAGCCACAGACACACAAAGGAAAAAAAAGCUACCUACUUCAAAAAGCCUCUGGUACAGAGGAAUCUCCAGCAAAACACCCUUACUACCCCCCCACCAACCCUUAACUGAGGUCUGGGAAGGGGUGGAUCCUGGUUCCACCCCUUCUGGUCACUCAGGCACAUUGCUUGCACCUGAGCUCCCCUGGGUUGGCCUUGUCUUCCACCAGGUACUCAAUCACUGCUUCAAGCCAUGACUUACCAUUUCCACUACAGUGUAUUUAAGCUGUUGAUGGCUCACAAUAGGGAUAGAAAAGUAGAGUAAGUUUUUGUGUUGUGGUAAUUGUUCUUUUCCUUAGUGGCUGCUGCCACCAGGUGGCUAGUUUAUGUAUUUGGUUGUAAGCCAUAAAUACCAUUUUUCUUUUAUCUCUGGCUAGUAAGUAUUUUUGUAUAGGUAUGUCUUCUGGUUUUUUUCCUUGUUUUUUUUUUUUUUUUUUUUUUUCCCCAAUGUGUGAUGCACAGCAUUUAAAAAUAAGAAAAAAAUAGAAGGAUGUGAUUAGCAGAUAAAAAUU
rnacentral:lncRNA from 1 species